rnacentral:lncRNA from 1 species
UGCUAUUAUAGCAGAUAUAUUACACUGAUAUUUACAAUUAGAAAUACAUGAUUGUGACUUAUAUUAUUACAUUGAAUUCUGUGAAGUACAUGCCUAGACAAAUAAUCCCUUACAGAAGAGGGAUGUCCAUACUCCACUCGUAUUGCACGAGGAAGAGGAAAUUUUUGAAAUAUUAAACAAAUAAGCACGUUAGCCCCCACAAAAGUAUUUGUGGGGGCUUGAACCGCUGCCCUCACAAGCAUUGUGAGGGCAGCAGCCCACCA